AGAUGCAUUUUGGAAAGCAGGUGUCUUUCCAAAUUUCCUAAAAAUUUGCGUCACGGUGUCAAAAAAAAUUCAGAACAUCCUAACAAGCUGCAGCCGGAAAGGGUAGAUAAGUUUGGUCUUGAUGCUUUAAACGAGAAUGUUGAAGGUUAAAUGCAUAAUCCUGAUCAAGAGCAUAAUCAUGAGCAGUGAAUCAUGCUCAGUUAAGAAGGUUACUGAUUUCUAGGGCUACACUUAUGUUUCAUUAACGGCAAAAAAUGUUGUUGAUUUCAUAAGCAGCAUCAGAAAGAACCAUGUUGUCAUUAUUUCAAGUUUAGAUUCUGCAAAGAGGAGGGUAAUUGAUGCAUCCAGGUAACUGAAAUGUCUAGCUUCAGCAAUCUCAUUGUUGCUUGAAUGUUUAGGCGCUUUUACAAUUUCUCGCCUGCAUCAAUUAAUCUAUGAGCCUUAUCUUUACGUUUCACCAGAAGAUGGUAAAAAGGAUGCUGGGUUGACAUAUGGACAUAGUUCUGAUAAGGAUGCCACUGUUCUUUCAAUGUUGAUGUAAUGAAAAUCCUUUGAUGAUAUAGAUGUGUAUUAUCUUUUGGAGCUGUACUAAAGUCUAUCGGACUACGUUGUUUUAUUAAAACUAAAUCUGGACAUAGCCA